ACUUUUUUUGUGUUGCUGAUGAGACGCUGAUCAUGUGAUGAGUUCACAAAUCAAAUGCACCACUUGUGCUUCAACUGGACAGUGAAAAACAAAGUUUCUGGCACAGCACAGAAAUACCCUUAUCCGGAUGGUGUGACAAAGGCAUUUCCUAACAGACCUGCUAACUGUCUUUGUUGUUACUUUACGGUUGGAACCAACAUGCAGUACCUCCAGCAGGAAAAGAGGCAAGAACCAUUGGUCCGCCAGCUCAAGGACAAGCUACACUAUUCACAGUCCUGUGUAAUCUUCAAUGUAAUUGCAUUGCUGGAGUUUUUGAAACUCCAAUGUAUUUGUAUUGUUUUAUAAAUGUACAAAUACAAUUAAAUCUAUGGUUUAAACAGG